GGGAGCAGCCACCCAGCGGGAUGUACAGGACCUUGGGGGCCCCCAACCCCACAGGGAGGUCACCCACCUUCAUUUCAGCCUCCAACUGAAGAAAGUCAAACGGAAACUGCCCUGCAAGAGAGAGACAGGCGGGGUCUCGCUGAGGUGGUGUCUGACAGCGCCGGGUUCCCUCUGCAGCCCCCAGCACUGGACUCGGUGGUGGUUUUUCUAGACUGCCCUUCCAUCUGGUGACUUCGGUACAUUGACUUACUCAUCCUGAGAGUUCACCUGCAGAUCCACUUGUGGGGCUUACGUGGGAGACGUGCUGAGAAAAGAGCAACGCGCUUCUUUCCUCCCAGCGUCCUGCCCUUCCCAUCUCUCCUCUGCCUCCUCCCAGGGUGGGCAGGCAGCUGUGUCUUGGCCCUGACUUGAGGGUCCCUCCACCCUCUCCAAGGGUGAAGCUGUGGCAGUUCCAGGUGGCUCCUUCCAGACCACGGAGGAGCCCUUUGCUGAAAUCCCUGCUUGUUGCUGCUUCUCUCCUUUUCCUCAGUCCCGGCAGAGGUGCAGGAAUGUUGUUCGCCUUUGCAAAGAAUUAACUUUGGAUUUUUGGACUUUCUUGAUCCUUGCUAUUUUUAUAUAUAAAACAUACGCAAUUUCUCUUCACUCA
rnacentral:lncRNA from 1 species